rnacentral:rRNA from 1 species
AGAGUUUGAUCCUGGCUCAGGAUGAACGCUAGCUACAGGCUUAACACAUGCAAGUCGAGGGGAAACGAUAUUGGAAGCUUGCUUCCGAUAGGCGUCGACCGGCGCACGGGUGAGUAACGCGUAUCCAACCUGCCCACCACUUGGGGAUAACCUUGCGAAAGUAAGACUAAUACCCAAUGAUAUCUCUAGAAGACAUCUGAAAGAGAUUAAAGAUUUAUCGGUGAUGGAUGGGGAUGCGUCUGAUUAGCUUGUUGGCGGGUAACGGCCACCAAGGCGACGAUCAGUAGGGGUUCUGAGAGGAAGGUCCCCCANAUUGGAACUGAGACACGGUCCAAACUCCCACGGGAGGCA